UACGGAGGGUGCAAGCGUUGUCCGGAUUUAUUGGGUUUAAAGGGUGCGUAGGCGGUCUUUUAAGUCAGUGGUGAAAUCCUCCAGCUCAACUGGAGAACUGCCAUUGAUACUGGAAGACUUGAGUAUAGUUGAGGUAGGCGGAAUUGACAGUGUAGCGGUGAAAUGCAUAGAUAUUGUCAAGAACACCGAUUGCGAAGGCAGCUUACUAAACUAUAACUGACGCUGAGGCACGAAAGUGAGGGGAUCAAACAGG
rnacentral:rRNA from 1 species